CACUAUCGUUAACUGAAUACAUAGGUUAACGAGGCGAACCGGGGGAACUGAAACAUCUAAGUACCCCGAGGAAAAGAAAUCAACCGAGAUUCCCCCAGUAGCGGCGAGCGAACGGGGAGCAGCCCAGAGUCUGAAUCAGCUUGUGUGUUAGUGGAACGGUCUGGAAAGUCCGACGGUACAGGGUGAUAGUCCCGUACACCAAAAUGCACAGGCUGUGAACUCGAAGAGUAGGGCGGGACACGUGGUAUCCUGUCUGAAUAUGGGGGGACCAUCCUCCAAGGCUAAAUACUCCUGACUGACCGAUAGUGAACCAGUACCGUGAGGGAAAGGCGAAAAGAACCCCGGCGAGGGGAGUGAAAAAGAACCUGAAACCGUGUACGUACAAGCAGUGGGAGCACCUUCGGGUGUGACUGCGUACCUUUUGUAUAAUGGGUCAGCGACUUAUAUUCUGUAGCAAGGUUAACCGUAUAGGGGAGCCGCAGGGAAACCGAGUCUUAACUGGGCGUUAAGUUGCAGGGUAUAGACCCGAAACCCGGUGAUCUAGCCAUGGGCAGGUUGAAGGUUGGGUAACACUAACUGGAGGACCGAACCGACUAAUGUUGAAAAAUUAGCGGAUGACUUGUGGCUGGGGGUGAAAGGCCAAUCAAACCGGGAGAUAGCUGGUUCUCCCCGAAAGCUAUUUAGGUAGCGCCUCGUGAACUCAUCUUCGGGGGUAGAGCACUGUUUCGGCUAGGGGGUCAUCCCGACUUACCAACCCGAUGCAAACUACGAAUACCGAAGAAUGUUAUCACGGGAGACACACGGCGGGUGCUAACGUCCGUCGUGAAGAGGGAAACAACCCAGACCGCCAGCUAAGGUCCCAAAGUCAUGGUUAAGUGGGAAACGAUGUGGGAAGGCACAGACAGCCAGGAUGUUGGCUUAGAAGCAGCCAUCAUUUAAAGAAAGCGUAAUAGCUCACUGGUCGAGUCGGCCUGCGCGGAAGAUGUAACGGGGCUAAACCAUGCACCGAAGCUGCGGCAGCGACACUAUGUGUUGUUGGGUAGGGGAGCGUUCUGUAAGCCUGCGAAGGUGACCUGUGAGGGUUGCUGGAGGUAUCAGAAGUGCGAAUGCUGACAUAAGUAACGAUAAAGCGGGUGAAAAGCCCGCUCGCCGGAAGACCAAGGGUUCCUGUCCAACGUUAAUCGGGGCAGGGUGAGUCGACCCCUAAGGCGAGGCCGAAAGGCGUAGUCGAUGGGAAACAGGUUAAUAUUCCUGUACUUGGUGUUACUGCGAAGGGGGGACGGAGAAGGCUAUGUUAGCCGGGCGACGGUUGUCCCGGUUUAAGCAUGUAGGCUGGUUGUCCAGGCAAAUCCGGAUAAUCAAGGCUGAGGUGUGAUGACGAGGCACUACGGUGCUGAAGUAACAAAUGCCCUGCUUCCAGGAAAAGCCUCUAAGCAUCAGGUAACAUUAAAUCGUACCCCAAACCGACACAGGUGGUCAGGUAGAGAAUACCAAGGCGCUUGAGAGAACUCGGGUGAAGGAACUAGGCAAAAUGGUGCCGUAACUUCGGGAGAAGGCACGCUGGUGUGUAGGUGAAGUCCCUGCGGAUGGAGCUGAGACCAGUCGAAGAUACCAGCUGGCUGCAACUGUUUAUUAAAAACACAGCACUGUGCAAACACGAAAGUGGACGUAUACGGUGUGACGCCUGCCCGGUGCCGGAAGGUUAAUUGAUGGGGUUAUCCGUAAGGAGAAGCUCUUGAUCGAAGCCCCGGUAAACGGCGGCCGUAACUAUAACGGUCCUAAGGUAGCGAAAUUCCUUGUCGGGUAAGUUCCGACCUGCACGAAUGGCGUAAUGAUGGCCAGGCUGUCUCCACCCGAGACUCAGUGAAAUUGAACUCGCUGUGAAGAUGCAGUGUACCCGCGGCAAGACGGAAAGACCCCGUGAACCUUUACUAUAGCUUGACACUGAACAUUGAGCCUUGAUGUGUAGGAUAGGUGGGAGGCUUUGAAGCGUGGACGCCAGUCUGCGUGGAGCCAACCUUGAAAUACCACCCUUUAAUGUUUGAUGUUCUAACGUUGGCCCCUGACCGGGGUUGCGGACAGUGUCUGGUGGGUAGUUUGACUGGGGCGGUCUCCUCCCAAAGCGUAACGGAGGAGCACGAAGGUUAGCUAAUCCUGGUCGGACAUCAGGAGGUUAGUGCAAUGGCAUAAGCUAGCUUGACUGCGAGCGUGACGGCGCGAGCAGGUGCGAAAGCAGGUCAUAGUGAUCCGGUGGUUCUGAAUGGAAGGGCCAUCGCUCAACGGAUAAAAGGUACUCCGGGGAUAACAGGCUGAUACCGCCCAAGAGUUCAUAUCGACGGCGGUGUUUGGCACCUCGAUGUCGGCUCAUCACAUCCUGGGGCUGAAGUAGGUCCCAAGGGUAUGGCUGUUCGCCAUUUAAAGUGGUACGCGAGCUGGGUUUAGAACGUCGUGAGACAGUUCGGUCCCUAUCUGCCGUGGGCGCUGGAGAAUUGAGGGGGGCUGCUCCUAGUACGAGAGGACCGGAGUGGACGCAUCACUGGUGUUCGGGUUGUCAUGCCAAUGGCACUGCCCGGUAGCUAAAUGCGGAAGAGAUAAGUGCUGAAAGCAUCUAAGCACGAAACUUGCCCCGAGAUGAGUUCUCCCUGAGACUUUAAGUCUCCUGAAGGAACGUUGAAGACGACGACGUUGAUAGGCCGGGUGUGUAAGCGCAGCGAUGCGUUGAGCUAACCGGUACUAAUGAACCGUGAGGCUUAACCUUACAACGCCGAAG
rnacentral:rRNA from 1 species